rnacentral:rRNA from 1 species
UACGAAGGGGGCUAGCGUUGCUCGGAAUUACUGGGCGUAAAGGGCGCGUAGGCGGACAGUUUAGUCAGAGGUGAAAGCCCAGGGCUCAACCUUGGAAUUGCCUUUGAUACUGGCUGUCUUGAGUUCGGGAGAGGUGAGUGGAAUGCCGAGUGUAGAGGUGAAAUUCGUAGAUAUUCGGCGGAACGCCAGUGGCGAAGGCGACUCACUGGCCCGAUACUGACGCUGAGGCGCGAAAGCGUGGGGAGCAAACAGG